UAUUUUCGUCUUCAAACUUCAAUUUAUUAUAAUUUUUGGCUCGAACUUUUGAAUGGUUACAAUUAAGUCUCACAACCAAAUAUAUUAGUUGGCUAAAAAUUAAUAAAUUAUUAAUGUGAAAGUAAUAUAUUAUUUUAAUUAUUAUCGCAUCAUCAACCAUUAUACUCUCAUACCAUUUCUAUAUCAAUAAUUUGUCAACAUUUAGCUAAUUAAAUUAUGUU
rnacentral:lncRNA from 1 species